UUUUGCGUUGACAAGUACACAUUGACCGAGGAUUUAACUUAUAGCAUCCUGUACUCUAACUUGAUGCGUGUAUUUUUAAAGCAAAAAAAGAAUUAUCAAAUACUUUCUAUUGUAUGUAAAUUGAUCAAACAUUCGCAAUCGCCUUAAUUAUUGAAGUGCAAUGAAGUCGACUGCCAGUGUUUACUUUGUUACCCAGCUUUAAGUCGGUUUAGGUUUUUCAAUCAUGACAAACACAGCACUUUGUGUAGAUUCGCAUUUUCGGUAGACAUUUUUGAGCAGUAAGAAAUUCAAGUUGGCAGUUUAUUUUUGAUAUUAUAACGUUACAGAGUACUGUUCGUUAGUUGCUACAAAAACUAUGUUUUCUAUAGAUAAAAAUACCGAGUGGAAUAAUGAUUGUAUUAAACUAUUUCUAAGAUGAAAAGGCAUCAUUAAGUCUUGAAGUAAUCGCAAAGUCUGGAUAAAUUCCAAACUUACCAGGUAUCUUCAAAAAAUCUAUUGUCAUCUCGAAGAGCUUUAACGGCUUUCAUACCGUCAACAUCAACAGUGGUCAGAAUAGAAGCCAAUGCAUUCACAACAUCUUUAGCCAUAUGAUCAGCAUCACCGCAGAUAUAAAAAGCAGCCCCUUCUUCUACAAGUUUAGCAAUGGUAUCACUGUGCUCUAAAAGACGGUGCUGAACAUAGAUUUUAUGAUCUUGCUCACGGGAAAAUGCGGUAAUCAGUUCAAAAGAGUCUUUCAAGACAUCUUUGUAUUGUUGCCAUUCUUCCUUAUAUAAAAAAUCCUUGUCAGAAUAUUGGCAACCAUAAAAUAAAAGUGUUUUUGCUACUUUAACUCCUUUAGAAGCUAAAUUAGCCCGUUCCAUCACAAAACCGCGGAAUGGGGCUACACCAGUACCCGGGCCUACCAUUAUUAUGGGGACAUCGGGAGGAGCCAAUCGAAAAGUAGAUUUCUUUACAAACAUCGGAAUUUUUCCGGUCCAGUUUUUACGAGGACCCUCAAGGGUAUAUUCCAAACCAUUUGGAUGUGGAAUUUUUUCACCGUGCAUAUGACGACAAUGUGCCAACAAAUAAUUAGUAGUUAGUCCAUAAAAGAUAUGAUUCUUAUCAGUCCAUUCUUUCUUGUCAACUACCGCUGUAACGUGAACUUUGUCAGGAUGCACUACACUGCUCGAGGAAAUCGAAUAGUAACGCGGUUUCAUGUGUGCCAUAUUUUCCAAUAGCAUUGAGAAUGGAAGUUUUGUAAAUGGAGCGUCAGGAGAAACACGACGAAGGACUUGAGCAAGGUUUAGGUGCAAGUCUACAACGUUCUUCUUAAAGUAGUCAUAAUCGUUGCCUAAUUUCUCGAGUUCUUGCUUAGAUUCUGGUGUAGGAGCGAAAGGAGCAAUAAAAGAAAGCAGUUGCCUGGAGACGAUACCACAUAUUUCAUAGUAGUAGCGAAAAACAGUGUCAUAGGUAGUAGGACUUAAAACAGGAGCCUUAUCGAGAGUAUCGAUAGGUUUAACAAUUAUUACAGUAUCCCUCUUCUCUUUGAGACCGAGAACUUCGAGAAGAUCAUCAACAGCUUGACUAGGAUUCAUAGGACAAAUAGAAGCGUAAUCACCUGUUUGAUAUCGCAUACCAGAGUCUGCGAUAUCCAACUCUAAAUGUAAGCAAUUACGACUUCCAGAUUUGAAUAGCUCAAGAGAUCUGACAGGAGAAGAGAAAAAUGGAUUAGCUUGAGAACGUGGAGCUUUCGAUGCAACAUUUCCUUUCAAUUGCUGACGACUUGGUUCUCCCAAAAAGACAGUAGAACUAGUGUUGGAAAUUUCAGGCUUCUCAAUAACUUCAAACAUAGGAUUGUAUUCCUUGUGGACUUCUUGCAAAUGGAACAGCUUACCUAUCUCAGGUAAAGUAUCAUCCUUCCAUUGUAAAUAGUCCUCUUCAAGCAUACCAGCGGCAUCGUCGCCCAAACCUAGAUUGCCCACACGAGUAGCGCCUAAACGA